rnacentral:tRNA from 1 species
GUCUCGGAUAGCUUAAUUCGUAGAACCUUUGGCGCGUAACCAAACGAUUCGGGUUCGAGUCCCGUUCUGGGCU